GACGAACGCUGGCGGCGUGCCUAAUACAUGCAAGUAGGACGCAGUUGCGAACGGGUGAGUAACGCGUAGGUAACUACCUAUUAGAGGGGGAUAACUAUUGGAAACGAUAGCUAAUACCGCAUACUAGUAGAUGGACCUGCGUUGUAUUAGCUAGUAGGUAGGGUAAUGGCCUACCUAGGCAAAGAUACAUAGCCGAACUGAAAGGGGUCUCUGCCACACUGGGACGUGGACAAGGCCCACACUCCUACGUGAGGCAGCAGUAGGGAAUCGUAGGCAAUGGGGCGAACCCUUACCGAGCACAGCCGCGUGAGUGAAGAAAGUUUUCGGAUCGUAAAGCUCUGUUGUUUAGGAAGCGGUACUUAACCAGAAAGGGACGGCUAACUACGUGCCAGCAGCCGCGGUAAUUC
rnacentral:rRNA from 1 species